CAGCCGCCGCGGUAAUACGAGGGGGGCAAGCGUUGUUCGGAUUUAUUGGGCGUAAAGGGUGCGUAGGCGGUUUGGCAAGUCUUGUGUGAAAUCUAUGGGCUCAACCCAUAGCCUGCACGAGAAACUACCGGGCUUGAGUGAUGGAGAGGUGAGUGGAAUUUCCGGUGUAGCGGUGAAAUGCGUAGAUAUCGGAAGGAACACCUGUGGCGAAAGCGGCUCACUGGACAUUAACUGACGCUGAUGCACGAAAGCUAGGGGAGCAAACAGGAUUAGAUACCCCGGUAGUCCCUGUCUCUUAUAC
rnacentral:rRNA from 1 species